rnacentral:rRNA from 1 species
UAAUACGGAGGAUCCGAGCGUUAUCCGGAUUUAUUGGGUUUAAAGGGAGCGUAGGCGGAUGUUUAAGUCAGUUGUGAAAGUUUAAGGCUCAACCUUGAAAUUGCAGUUGAUACUGGAUAUCUUGAGUACAUUGAAUGUGGGCGGAAUUCGUGGUGUAGCGGUGAAAUGCUUAGAUAUCACGAAGAACUCCAAUUGCGAAGGCAGCUCACAGUAAUGUAACUGACGCUGAUGCUCGAAAGUGUGGGUAUCAAACAGGAUUAGAUACCCUGGUAGUCCACACAGUAAACGAUGAAUACUCGCUGUUUGCGAUAUACAGUAAGCGGCCAAGCGAAAGCGUUAAGUAUUCCACCUGGGGAGUACGCCGGCAACGGUGAAACUCAAAUGAAUUGACGG